rnacentral:rRNA from 1 species
UUGUUGCCGCCCGUACCCCAAACCGACACUGGUGGUCAGGUAGAGAAUACCAAGGCGAUCGAGCGAAUCCUGGUCAAGGAACUCGGCAAAUCACUCCCGUGCCUUCGGUAUAAGGGAGACCCCUGAUGGUGAUGGAAAUUGCUUCCGGAGCUUUCGGGGGUGGCACAGACCAGGGGGUAGCGACUGUUUACCAAAAACACAGGUGCAUGCGAAGGCGCAAGCCGCUGUAUAUGCACUGACGCCUGCCCGGUGCCGGAAGGUUAAGAGGAUCCGUCAGCCCUCGGGUGAAGCGGUGAAUUCAAGCCCCGGUAAACGGCGGUGGUAACUAUAACCAUCCUAAGGUAGCGAAAUUCCUUGUCGGGUAAGUUCCGACCUGCACGAAUGGCGUAACGACUUCCCCACUGUCUCGACCAGGAGCUCGGCGAAAUUGCAGUACGAGUAAAGAUGCUCGUUAAGCGCAGAAGGACGAAAAGACCCCGGGACCUUUACUAUACCUUGGUAUUGGCGUUAGGCGCGGAUUGUGUAGCAUAGGCGGGAGGCUUCGAAGCGCGGGCGCCAGCCCGUGUGGAGCCGCAAGGUGAAAUACCGCUCUGUUCUCGUUUGACGUCUCACCUCGAACAGUCAUCCUGUUCAGGGACAGUGCCUGGCGGGUAGUUUAACUGGGGCGGUUGCCUCCCAAAGAGUAACGGAGGCGCUCAAAGGUCCGCUCAGCCCGGUUGGCAAUCGGGUUUCGAGUGUAAUCGCACAAGCGGGCUUGACUGCGAGAACGACGGUUCGGGCAGGGACGAAAGUCGGAGAUAGUGAUCCGGUGCCGGCGCACGGGCGCGGCAUCGCUCAACGGAUAAAAGGUACCCCGGGGAUAACAGGCUGAUCAUUCCCAAGAGUCCAUAUCGACGGGAUGGUUUGGCACCUCGAUGUCGGCUCGUCGCAUCCUGGGGCUGGAGCAGGUCCCAAGGGUUCGGCUGUUCGCCGAUUAAAGCGGCACGCGAGCUGGGUUCAGAACGUCGUGAGACAGUUUGGUCUCUAUCCUCUGCGCUCGUUGGAAUCCUGAGGAGGCCUGCCCAUAGUACGAGAGGACCUGGGUGGACGGACCUCUGGUAUGCCGGUUGUCGCGCCAGCGGCAUGGCCGGUCGGCUACGUUCGGGAGGGAUAACCGCUGAAAGCAUCUAAGCGGGAAGCCUGCUCCAAGAUUAGGAUUCCUUGACGCUCCUCGGAGCGUUUGUAGCCCGCAUGUUGAACACGUGUUCGAUAGGCCGGAGGUGGAAGUCCGCGAGGGAUGGAGCCGACCGGUACUAACGGGCGAACGC